rnacentral:tRNA from 3 species
GCCACCCUAGCUCAGUGGUAGAGCAAUGCUUUCGUAAAGCAUAGGUCGUGGGUUCGAGUCCCAUGGGUGGCU